rnacentral:rRNA from 1 species
CAGGACGAACGCUGGCGGCGUGCCUAACACAUGCAAGUCGAACGGAGUCAAAAAGCUUGCUUUUGACUUAGUGGCGGACGGGUGAGUAACGCGUGAGUAACCUGCCUCUGAGAGGGGAAUAACGUUCUGAAAAGAACGCUAAUACCGCAUAACGUAUCGAAGCCGCAUGACUUUGAUACCAAAGAUUUUAUCGCUCGGAGAUGGACUCGCGUCCGAUUAGUUAGUUGGUGAGGUAACGGCUCACCAAGACCGCGAUCGGUAGCCGGACUGAGAGGUUGAUCGGCCACAUUGGGACUGAGACACGGCCCAGACUCCUACGGGAGGCAGCAGUGGGGGAUAUUGCGCAAUGGGGGCAACCCUGACGCCAGCAACGCCGCGUGAAGGAUGAAGGUUUUCGGAUUGUAAACUUCUUUUAUCAGGGACGAAGCUUGACGGUACCUGAUGAAUAAGCUCCGGCUAACUACGUGCCAGCAGCAGC